rnacentral:snRNA from 1 species
UGUCCUCCAUAGGAGGUCUAUAUUGAGCAGAUUCUUUUUGGUAUUGGGUGGUGGAACUGGAGCGUGCUCCAUCCAUUCCAUGCAUUGACCUGGUAUUGCAGUGCUUCCAGGACCGGUGC